GACGAACGCUGGCGGCGUGCUUAACACAUGCAAGUCGAACGGAAAGGCCCUGCUUUUGUGGGGUGCUCGAGUGGCGAACGGGUGAGUAACACGUGAGUAACCUGCCCUUGACUUUGGGAUAACUUCAGGAAACUGGGGCUAAUACCGGAUAGGAGCUCCUGCUGCAUGGUGGGGGUUGGAAAGUUUCGGCGGUUGGGGAUGGAUUCGCGGCUUAUCAGCUUGUUGGUGGGGUAGUGGCUUACCAAGGCUUUGACGGGUAGCCGGCCUGAGAGGGUGACCGGCCACAUUGGGACUGAGAGACGGCCCAGACUCCUACGGGAGGCAGCAGUGGGGAAUAUUGCACAAUGGGCGGAAGCCUGAUGCAGCAACGCCGCGUGCGGGAUGACGGCCUUCGGGUUGUAAACCGCUUUCGCCUGUGACGAAGCGUGAGUGACGGUAAUGGGUAAAGAAGCACCGGCUAACUACGUG
rnacentral:rRNA from 1 species